CCUAACACAUGCAAGUCGAACGAAGGCUUCGGCCUUAGUGGCGCACGGGUGCGUAACGCGUGGGAAUCUGCCCUCAGGUUCGGAAUAACAGCGAGAAAUUCGCUGCUAAUACCGGAUGAUAUCGCGAGAUCAAAGAUUUAUCGCCUGAGGAUGAGCCCGCGUAGGAUUAGCUAGUUGGUGUGGUAAAGGCGCACCAAGGCGACGAUCCUUAGCUGGUCUGAGAGGAUGAUCAGCCACACUGGGACUGAGACACGGCCCAGACUCCUACGGGAGGCAGCAGUGGGGAAUAUUGGGCAAUGGGCGAAAGCCUGAUCCAGCAAUGCCGCGUGAGUGAUGAAGGCCUUAGGGUUGUAAAGCUCUUUUACCCGGGAUGAUAAUGACAGUACCGGGAGAAUAAGCUCCGGCUAACUCCGUGCCAGCAGCCGCGGUAAUACGGAGGGAGCUAGCGUUAUUCGGAAUUACUGGGCGUAAAGCGCACGUAGGCGGCUUUGU
rnacentral:rRNA from 1 species